rnacentral:lncRNA from 1 species
AGAAGAGCCUUUGGGGUGUGUUCUUCCCCUUUAGGGGGACCCCUUCUUCCCCGUAGGGGAGUUCAUCCCCUUUAGUUCCCCUAAAGGGGAUGAACUAAAGGGGACGAGCACUUCUUCAUCCCCUUUAGGGGAACUAAAGAAGACGGAGUCCCCUAAAGGGGAAGAAGAAGAGACUUUGGUUCAUCCCCUUUAGGGGAACUAAAGAAGACGAAGACUUUGGGGUGUGUUCUUCCCCUUUAGGGGAACCCCUUCUUCAUCCCCUUUAGGGGAACUAAAGGGGAAGAAGAAGAGACUUUGGGGAUGAACCCCUUCUUCCCCUUUAGUUCUUCCCCUAAAGAAGAAGAACUAAAGGGUUGUCCCCUUUAGGGUUGUCUUCUUUAGGGGAACCAAAGUCAUCCCCGAAGGUUCCCCUUUAGGGGAAGAAGUCCCCUAAAGGGGAAGAAGGGGGUUCCCCUUUAGUUCCCCUUUAGGGGAAGAAGAAGAACUUUAGGGGAUGAACUAAAGGGAAUGACACCCUAGGGUAUCCCUUCGGUUUUUCAUUCCCUUUAGGGACAACCCCAAAGGGUACCCAAAGGGAACCCUUUGGGUAUGAAAACCCUAGGGUACUUAAGAGCCCUUCCCCUUUGGUUUCCCCUUUGUUCAUACCCUAAAGGGGAACUAAAGGGGUUCUUCCCCUAAAGGGGAACUUUAGUUCAUCCCCUUUAGUUCCCCUAAAGGGGAUGAACUAAAGGGGAAGAAGGACACCAAAGUCCCUAAAGGGAAUGAUGACUUGNGACGACGAAGAAGACAACAUGUGGAACUAUUGUAGUGAGAACUAACGAAGACCGAAGAGUCGUGUUGUCGUUUCCUGGUACAACGUAGUCUAGACUACAGGNNN